UAGGCGGAGGAAAAGAAACUAACAAGGAUUCCCCUAGUAACUGCGAGUGAAGCGGGAAAAGCUCAAAUUUAAAAUCUGGUGGUCUUUGGCCGUCCGAGUUGUAAUUUAGAGAAGCGUCUUCCGCGCUGGACCGUGCACAAGUCUCCUGGAACGGAGCGUCGUAGAGGGUGAGAAUCCCGUCUUUGGCAUGGACACACCAGGGCUUUUGCGAUGCGCUCUCGAAGAGUCGAGUUGUUUGGGAAUGCAGCUCAAAAUGGGUGGUGAACUCCAUCUAAAGCUAAAUAUUGGCGAGAGACCGAUAGCGAACAAGUACCGUGAGGGAAAGAUGAAAAGCACUUUGGAAAGAGAGUGAAACAGUACGUGAAAUUGUUGAAAGGGAAACGCUUGAAGUCAGUCGCGUCGUCCGAGACUCAGCCUCGCCUCGGCUUGGCGUACUUCUCGGCCCGACGGGUCAGCAUCAAUUUCGCCUCUCGGAUAAUGGCGAGGGAAAAGUGACACCUUUACGGUGUGUUAUAGUCUCUCGUCGCAUGCGAGGGUCGGGAUUGAGGAACUCAGCACGCGCCCUCGGGCGUCGGGGCUUUCGCCCACGAUACGUGCUUAGGAUGUUGGCGUAAUGGCUUUAAACGACC
rnacentral:rRNA from 1 species